AUUUUCUUUUGUUUCCGAAUUCUCUUCGGCCCCUGCAUUCUCGGUCUCCCCUUCGCACUUGUUCUGGGCUCGUUUUACAUUCUGAUCAUUUCAUGCUUUUCCAGAGCUCCUAUGCUUAAUGACUUUCAACAAAUCCUAGCGCAAAGCAAGAGGUUUCCCCAUUAUCUGGACUAGAGAGAAUUGUGGAUGCAAGUUUACUGAUGUUGCUGGGCUUGGGAAAAUAAUGCUUUCUUUACUCAGUAGUAAAAUUUGAUAAAUUGUGAAAGAGUACUUGAGUAGAGUCAGGACUUCACUUACCAGUAGAUCGUGAUGGAGAAGUAGUCUGAGUCUGAGGCGAGUAAGUGUUAUUUGUGGUGGCAGAAACUAGUGGUGGUGCUGGAGUGGGUGAUGUAGAAAUGGUGUGAUAGAAAGGGUCCGGUUCAUACCUAAUAUUACAGCUUGGAUACAUAACUCUCCCUCCCUUCUUUGCAACACAACACUUUGGAAAUUCCCCUAUCGCAUCACUGAGACAUGUUCUGCAAUCACGGGGUGACAAAUCUGGUGUGCACUGAGCUUGAAUGUAAAUGGUGUGAGAUUCUGAGUCUGAGACAGUUACUUCCUUUGUGGCGUACUUAAUCUUCUCAUCACCACUUGCUGCUUCGUCUGCAGUUGCAUUCAUGGCCUUAUACACCAAAUGCAAGAAGCUUUCUGGGUUUGAGACAUUAAGGGGGUUCAAAUAGACAAAUUUAGGCUGCGUAUCGACGGCGGAGAAGAAAUUGCGAUUGGAGUAGCGAACCAUGCACUCGUCAUACCAAAUCACAGCUUGUUUGGACAAGGAGCACUCUGAGAAGAGUUGCAGAGUUGCGUCCCCGAUGCAUUGUUGACAGAGUUGAGAGUCAUCGUCGCCCUUGCACAUGAAAAGCCCAUAGACGGAGUCAGAUGGGUUUGUGCUACCAAUGACUGUGCUGGUGGAGAAUUGGGUGUCUCCUGUGGCCUUAGAAGACAAUGAAGUGAGGAGGGUUCUCAGAUCAAAUUGGAAGGCACUGUUGUUGUUGGAGAUGGUGGUGGUGGUGGUGUUGGAGCAAAUUUUAUAUAGAUAAAUAGCAAUGCUGUCCUCUGUCUUGGUAGGUGGAAACCUGAGGAAGCUAAUCAGGAUGAAGAAGAAAAGAAUGUUAUAGGAAGGCAUGUAUGUGUUAUAUUGGAUCUUCUGUUCACAGCCGUGUGUGGCUGGAUAUAUAGAAUAGAAUGAUUUCAUGGUAGCAAUUUUAGUUAAAAGUUAUUCUUCUCAAUUAUUGUGAUACCAAAUAAUUUGUGUUUGAAGUUUACAAACAUAUUUCCUAGUAUAAGAGUUGUAGACUUAGGUAGAUACUAGUCAAGCAAGGCAUUUAUGAGACAAGUCAAGCAAAGCCAGUAAACGAUAAGGUCUACAUAAUGAUGUGGUUCCUGGCACAGCAAGUUUCUCAAUUGAUGAUCGUGGGUCCUUUGAUUUUAA